rnacentral:rRNA from 1 species
GACGUAGGGCGCGAGCGUUGUCCGGAUUUAUUGGGCGUAAAGAGCUCGUAGGCGGCUUGUCGCGUCGUUCGUGAAAACCUGCAGCUCAACUGCAGGCUUGCGGUCGAUACGGGCAGGCUAGGAGUUCGGUAGGGGAGACUGGAAUCCUGGUGUAGCGGUGAAAUGCGCAGAUAUCAGGAGGAACACCGGUGGCGAAGGCGGGUCUCUGGGCCGAUUACCUGACGCUGGAGGAGC